UAGGGAAUCUUCGGCAAUGGACGAAAGUCUGACCGAGCAACGCCGCGGGAGUGAAGAAGGAUUUCGGAUCGUAAAACUCUGUUGUUAGAGAAGAACAAGGACGUUAGUAACUGAACGUCCCCUGACGGUAUCUAACCAGAAAGCCACGGCUAACUACGUGCCAGCAGCCGCGGUAAUACGUAGGUGGCAAGCGUUGUCCGGAUUUAUUGGGCGUAAAGCGAGCGCAGGCGGUUUCUUAAGUCUGAUGUGAAAGCCCCCGGCUCAACCGGGGAGGGUCAUUGGAAACUGGGAGACUUGAGUGCAGAAGAGGGGAGUGGAAUUCCAUGUGUAGCGGUGAACUGCGUAGAGAUAUGGAGGAACACCAGUGGCGAAGGCGGCUCGCUGGUCUGUAACUGACGCUGAGGCUCGAAAGCGUGGGGAGCAAACAGG
rnacentral:rRNA from 1 species